rnacentral:rRNA from 1 species
GAUGAACGCUGGCGGCGUGCCUAAUACAUGCAAGUCGAGCGAACGGACGAGAAGCUUGCUUCUCUGAUGUUAGCGGCGGACGGGUGAGUAACACGUGGAUAACCUACCUAUAAGACUGGGAUAACUUCGGGAAACCGGAGCUAAUACCGGAUAAUAUUUUGAACCGCAUGGUUCAAAAGUGAAAGACGGUCUUGCUGUCACUUAUAGAUGGAUCCGCGCUGCAUUAGCUAGUUGGUAAGGUAACGGCUUACCAAGGCAACGAUGCAUAGCCGACCUGAGAGGGUGAUCGGCCACACUGGAACUGAGACACGGUCCAGACUCCUACGGGAGGCAGCAGUAGGGAAUCUUCCGCAAUGGGCGAAAGCCUGACGGAGCAACGCCGCGUGAGUGAUGAAGGUCUUCGGAUCGUAAAACUCUGUUAUUAGGGAAGAACAUAUGUGUAAGUAACUGUGCACAUCUUGACGGUACCUAAUCAGAAAGCCACGGCUAACUACGUGCCAGCAGCCGCGGUAAUACGUAGGUGGCAAGCGUUAUCCGGAAUUAUUGGGCGUAAAGCGCGCGUAGGCGGUUUUUUAAGUCUGAUGUGAAAGCCCACGGCUCAACCGUGGAGGGUCAUUGGAAACUGGAAAACUUGAGUGCAGAAGAGGAAAGUGGAAUUCCAUGUGUAGCGGUGAAAUGCGCAGAGAUAUGGAGGAACACCAGUGGCGAAGGCGACUUUCUGGUCUGUAACUGACGCUGAUGUGCGAAAGCGUGGGGAUCAAACAGGAUUAGAUACCCUGGUAGUCCACGCCGUAAACGAUGAGUGCUAAGUGUUAGGGGGUUUCCGCCCCUUAGUGCUGCAGCUAACGCAUUAAGCACUCCGCCUGGGGAGUACGACCGCAAGGUUGAAACUCAAAGGAAUUGACGGGGACCCGCACAAGCGGUGGAGCAUGUGGUUUAAUUCGAAGCAACGCGAAGAACCUUACCAAAUCUUGACAUCCUUUGACAACUCUAGAGAUAGAGCCUUCCCCUUCGGGGGACAAAGUGACAGGUGGUGCAUGGUUGUCGUCAGCUCGUGUCGUGAGAUGUUGGGUUAAGUCCCGCAACGAGCGCAACCCUUAAGCUUAGUUGCCAUCAUUAAGUUGGGCACUCUAAGUUGACUGCCGGUGACAAACCGGAGGAAGGUGGGGGUGACGUCAAAUCAUCAUGCCCCUUAUGAUUUGGGCUACACACGUGCUACAAUGGACAAUACAAAGGGCAGCGAAACCGCGAGGUCAAGCAAAUCCUAUAAAGUUGUUCUCAGUUCGGAUUGUAGUCUGCAACUCGACUACAUGAAGCUGGAAUCGCUAGUAAUCGUAGAUCAGCAUGCUACGGUGAAUACGUUCCCGGGUCU